UACAGAGGUCUCAAGCGUUGUUCGGAUUCAUUGGGCGUAAAGGGUGCGUAGGUGGCGUCGUAAGUGGGGUGUGAAAUCCCGGGGCUUAACCCCGGGACUGCAUUCCAUACUGCGGUGCUUGAGGACUGGAGAGGAGACUGGAAUUUACGGUGUAGCAGUGAAAUGCGUAGAGAUCGUAAGGAAGACCAGUGGCGAAGGCGGGUCUCUGGACAGUUCCUGACACUGAGGCACGAAGCCAGGGGAGCAAACGGG
rnacentral:rRNA from 1 species